rnacentral:rRNA from 1 species
GACGAACGCUGGCGGCGUGCUUAACACAUGCCAGUCGAACGCUGAAGCUCAGCUUUUGUUGGGUGGAUGAGUGGCGAACGGGUGAGUAACACGUGAGUAACCUGCCCCCUUCUUUGGGAUAACGCCCGGAAACGGGUGCUAAUACUGGAUAUUCACUGGUCUUCGCAUGGGGGUUGGUGGAAAGGGUUUUUCUGGUGGGGGAUGGGCUCGCGGCCUAUCAGCUUGUUGGUGGGGUGAUGGCCUACCAAGGCUUUGACGGGUAGCCGGCCUGAGAGGGUGACCGGUCACAUUGGGACUGAGAUACGGCCCAGACUCCUACGGGAGGCAGCAGUGGGGAAUAUUGCACAAUGGGCGCAAGCCUGAUGCAGCGACGCCGCGUGAGGGAUGGAGGCCUUCGGGUUGUGAACCUCUUUCGCUCAUGGUCAAGCCGCAACAAUGGUUGUGGUGAGGGUAGUGGGUAAAGAAGCGCCGGCUAGCUACGUG